rnacentral:rRNA from 1 species
GUGUCAGCAGCCGCGGUAAUACGUAGGGGGGUUUGCUCGAGAGGAUUUACUGGGCGUAAAGCGCGUGUAGGCGGCCACGCAGGUCCGUUGUGAAAACUGGAGGCUCAACCUCCAGACGUCGACGGAAACCGUGUGGCUAGAGUCCGGAAGAGGAGAGUGGAAUUCCUGGUGUAGCGGUGAAAUGCGCAGAUAUCAGGAAGAACACCAAUGGCGAAGGCAGCUCUCUGGGACGGUACUGACGCUGAGACGCGAAAGCGUGGGGAGCGAACAGGAUUAGAUACCCUGGUAGUCCACGCCGUAAACGAUGGGUGCUAGGUGUGGGAGGUGUCGACUCCUUCCGUGCCGUAGCUAACGCAUUAAGCACCCCGCCUGGGGAGUACGGCCGCAAGGCUAAA